CGGAGAGAUUUUUUUUAUUAUGACUUGAUACUAUGAUUACUGUCGAACUCUCAGUCUUUGUGGAGGGGAAAUUAAUAAGUUUUUCUUAAGCACUCGGCACGGCCACUGCAUACCGAUGAGGCCGGACCAGCUCCCCCGCUGUGGGAGUCGACUAUCAAUCUGGCCUCUUGCCCGCUGGGGCCCGGCAGUUCUCAUAUCUGCAGGAAGCUGGCCAUUAGGGGCCAGCCUGGUGCCAGCACUUCCGGCAAACGCUGGGCAUCCCACGAGGGGCCAGGGGCCCACCCUGCUCCAUUCCUGGUCGUGUCCUGGGGCAGGAAUCAUAGAUGUCGAAUCCCAGAACCAGAACAGGCCUUCGCUUUCAGCUCAUUCAGAUGGAGAAACUGAGGCCAAGCAAGAUGUGACAGCUAGCGGCCAGGCCGGGCUGUCCCGCUGGGUGACAUCUCGGUGCUUCGGACUCUCUUUCCUUCGAGUCUGGCUGCCGUCCCUCCUGCUGCCUUUGUCCUGUUCCAAUUAGGCUGAAGGUUGACAGGUGACGUCUCUCAGCCCCGCAGGGAGAAUGAAUGGAGACAGAGCCCUAUCCCAGAAACCCCUGCUCUCCUCCUAGCCUCAGCCAUGCUCGGCCUGGGGGAGGGAAGGGCUCCCUUGGGCGGGCUGCCAGUCAGCUGCCUACUCAGGCAAGCGUGGCAAUGAACAAACAAAACAAACACCACCCCAUUCUCCCCGACCAACCGUGACCACUCACUGAGCGAGCUUGUCUCAGCCACCCCGGGAGCCGGGAGGGGAGGGACUAGACUGUUGCUGUCACCCAAGGCGAGGCCAGGCUCGGGCAGCAAGGCGGUCACAGUGCCUGGCGGUCCCAGGGGUCUCAGGCUGGGCCUGGAAGGUGGAAGCCAGUCCCCCACCAACUACACUGAUGGCGAGCAGUAUUGGCUGCAACCGGAGGCAGUCAGGUUAGACAGCAGGAGACUGUCAAUCAUAAGGAAAGUUUAGUCCCUCCCUGGGGUCACCAGGACAAUGACAGCAGUCAAAGGAGGGUCCGGGUGAGGCUUGAGCCCCCACUGGAAAUGGAGACCUGGGCUUCUCUGGCUGCACGUGGGCAGGCCGUUCUGGGCUGGACGUCCUGCUCCCACAGACCCUGGGUUCAGAUCAUUGGGUGUGACCUCUGUUCCACCUCUGUGCUGCAUGACCUUGCAUGUCUCAGGUGACAGAAUGAAGACACCGGGCUACCUGUCACCCACAGCCAUCACCUGGAAGGCGAGUGGAGCAGGGAGACACACAGAUUGGGAGAAGCCCCAGUCAUCCUGUUGCAAGGACUGAGGCACACGGGGUGCGGGAGCGAGGCUCUCGUGUGCAUUUGGGGAUUUGACACACAGAGCACCUGACAGUGUCCCUGUCAUCACAGAUGCUCAUGCUCCGGAGCAGAGAGAUGGUCAGGAAGCAGGGAACCAGGUGACUCCAUCAGAUUCAUCCUCUCAGCGAAUAUUUAUGGAACCAAUGGAACCAAUGCCACUGGCCAGGUAACUGAGGAACUCCCUGCCCUCCGGCAGCUCGCAUUCUGGUUUCCUCAUGCCCCGCAGAGCUCCAAAAGAUAAGCCCCACACCAGAGAUGACAACGACCCUCCGCUGUCGCCAAGCACGGCAGAAUUCAGCCAAGCAGGGAACCACGGAGUCUGAUUGGCUCUGGGAGCUGGAGGAGCCUGUGGGUGUCAGGGACCAGGAACCGCCGCCCCCGGCUGUCAUGCCCUCCAGCCACUGACUCGGUCCUGCCAAAUCCGACAGGACCCCUGGAUGGGCCGGGAGCUGUGGGCCUGCGUUACCCAUGGAACGGCCGGGCCAGGCUGAGGCAGGUGGCCCAAUGGUCAAGAGCAGGGCCUCUGAAGUCAGAUAAGCCUGGGAGCAAAUCUCAGCUCUGCCCCUUUCUCCACGCGCCCUCAGAGAGCUGACUUACUGGCUGGGCCCUCAGUAAGUAGGACUGAGCAGCAAUAGGACUGCGGGUGACCCCUCCCUGUCCUCAGCCCCCCUCAGCCUUCUUCCCGUUAGACAAGGAACAAGAGCAGGGCAGGGCCACGCUGGGGCGCUAUGCCACACCAGGACACGAAGCUAUCCUUCAGGCCAAGGACUCCCCACAGAACAAAUCCGUUCUGUGCAAUAAAGCACUUGGCUGCCACCCUGCUCAGGGCGUGCAAGAUCCAAAUUGCUGCCCUGGCACUUCAGAGACAGAGAAAAGAGAGACAAGCUCGGGGUCCCUGGGAAAAGACCUUUGAACCUGCUUAGGAAUCAGACUUGUCUGACUGCCGUCCAUCUGCCCUCCAGGUUUGGAGAAAGGGAAGGAACCCUGGAGGGCUGCCUGUCGGGCACAGGAAAUAGUGGGUAAAAAGGGCAGGAUUCUGAAAGGGGUGUGGUGAGGACACAC